rnacentral:rRNA from 1 species
GAUCCUGGCUCAGGAUGAACGCUGGCGGCGUGCCUAAUACAUGCAAGUCGAACGGGAAGCCUUGGAUUCGCCUGAGGUGGAGAGUGGCGAACUGGUGAGUAACACGUAGGUGACCUGCCCCGAAGAUGGGAAUAACCUCGCUCCGGUUUCCGGAGUUACCGAAAGGGGGGCUAAUGCCCAAUAUGCUCGGUGAUUCGUUUCAUUGAGUAAAGGCUCUGGCGCUUCGGGAUGGGCCUGCGGCCUAUCAGCUAGUUGGUAGGGUAACGGCCUACCAAGGCGAAGACGGGUAGGGGGCGUGAGAGCGCGACCCCCCACACUGGCACUGAGACACGGGCCAGACUCCUACGGGAGGCAGCAGUCGGGGAUAUUGCACAAUCGGCGAAAGCCGGAUGCAGCGACGCCGCGUGGAUGACGAAGGCCUUCGGGUUGUAAAAUCCUUUUAUGGGGGAAGAGAUCAGGACGGUACCCCAUGAAUAAGUCCCGGCUAACUACGUGCCAGCAGCCGCGGUAAAACGUAGGGGACAAGCGUUAUCCGGAUUUACUGGGCGUAAAGAGCGUUGAGGCGGUUCCGUAAGUUGGGCGUGAAAGCCCCGGGCUUAACCCGGGGAGGUCGUUCAAUACUGCGGGGCUUGAGGGCAGCAGAGGGAGGUGGAAUUCCCGGUGUAGCGGUGAAAUGCGUAGAUAUCGGGAGGAACACCAGUGGCGAAGGCGGCCUCCUGGGCUGCACCUGACGCUGAAGGCGAAAGCUAGGGGAGCGAACGGGAUUAGAAACCCCGGUAGUCCUAGCUGUAAACGAUGGAUGCUGGGUGGUGGNGGGGUGUAGAUUCCCUCCGUGCCGAAGCUAACGCGUUAAGCAUCCCGCCUGGGGACUACGGCCGCAAGGCUAAAACUCAAACGAAUUGACGGGGAACCGCACAAGCAGCGGAGCGUGUGGUAUAAUUCGAUGCUACACGAAGAACCUUACCUGGGUUUGACAUAUAAGUGGUAGUGAAGCGAAAGUGGAACGACCCUUCGGGGAGCUUAUACAGGUGCUGCAUGGCUGUCGUCAGCUCGUGCCGUGAGGUGUCGGGUUAAGUCCCGUAACGAGCGCAACCCUUGCCCUUAGUUAUACGUGUCUAAGGGGACUGCCCGGGACAACUGGGAGGAAGGUGGGGAUGACGUCAAGUCAGCAUGGCCUUUAUGUCCAGGGCUACACACACGCUACAAUGGCCGGUACAAUGGGUUGCCAAGCCGUGAGGCGGAGCCAAUCCCCCAAAGCCGGUCUCAGUUCGAAUUGCGGGCUGCAACUCGCCCGCAUGAAGCUGGAGUUGCUAGUAACCGCAGGUCAGCAAUACUGCGGUGAAUACGUUCCCGGGUCUUG